rnacentral:sRNA from 12 species
CACCUAAACUCGUAAGAAAUUACGGGCAUGGUAGACAAUCGCAGUACACAUAGACCCCGUCAUUAGGGCGUGUACUGCGUUAUACAGGGAAACUUGUAUAGGCGACCGUAAGGUUGCU